GACGAACGCUGGCGGCGUGCUUAACACAUGCAAGUCGAACGAUGAAAGAGGAGCUUGCUCCUCUGGAUUAGUGGCGAACGGGUGAGUAACACGUGAGCAAUCUGCCCCUGACUCCGGAAUAACUACGGGAAACUGUAGCUAAUACCGGAUAUGCGCCGAACAGGCAUCUGUAUCGGUGGGAAAGAAUUUCGGUCAGGGAUGAGCUCGCGGCCUAUCAGCUUGUUGGUGAGGUAACGGCUCACCAAGGCGACGACGGGUAGCCGGCCUGAGGGGGUGACCGGCCAAGAUGGGAAGGGGACAAGGCCAAAGCCACAAGGGGGGGAAGGAGGGGGGAAAAUUGCAAAAGGGGGGAAAGCGUGAUGAAGCAACGCCGGGGGGGGAAUGAGGGCCUUGGGGGUGAAAACCUCUUUGGGAGGGAAAAAAGGAAAAGGAGGGGAACCGGCAAAAAAAGGCCGGGCAAAAAACGU
rnacentral:rRNA from 1 species